rnacentral:rRNA from 1 species
UGUCAUGCCCUACGGGGCGCAGCAGGCGCUUAACCUCCGCAAUGCGGGAAACCGCGACGGGGUCAGCCGGAGUGCUCGCGCAUCGCGCGGGCUGUCGGGGUGCCUUAAUAGCACCCCACAGCAAGGGCCGGGCAAGGCCGGUGGCAGCCGCCGCGGUAAUACCGGCGGCCCGAGUGGCGGCCACUUUUAUUGGGCCUAAAGCGUCCGUAGCCGGGCUGGUAAGUCUCCGGGAAAUCUGGUCGCUUAACGAUCAGACUUCCGGAGGAUACUGCCAGCCUAGCGACCGGGAGAGGCCGGGGGUAUUCCCGGGGUAGGGGUGAAAUCCUGUAAUCCCGGGAGGACCACCUGUGGCGAAGGCGCCCGGCUGGAACGGGUCCGACGGUGAGGGACGAAGGCCAGGGGAGCGAACCGGAUUAGAUACCCGGGUAGUCCUGGCUGUAAACGAUGCGGACUAGGUGUCACCGAAGCUACGAGCUUCGGUGGUGCCGGAGGGAAGCCGUUAAGUCCGCCGCCUGGGGAGUACGGCCGCAAGGCUGAAACUUAAAGGAAUUGGCGGGGGAGCACUACAACGGGUGGAGCCUGCGGUU